rnacentral:rRNA from 1 species
AUUGAACGCUGGCGGCAGGCCUAACACAUGCAAGUCGAGCGGAAGAAGGGAGCUUGCUCCUGGAUUCAGCGGCGGACGGGUGAGUAAUGCCUAGGAAUCUGCCUGGUAGCGGGGGAUAACGUCCGGAAACGGGCGCUAAUACCGCAUACAUCCAGAGGGAGAAAGUGGGGGAUCUUCGGAUCUCACGCCAUCAGAUGAGCCUAGGUCGGAUUAGCUAGUUGGUGGGGUAAAGGCCUACCAAGGCGACGAUCCGUAACUGGUCUGAGAGGAUGAUCAGUCACACUGGAACUGAGACACGGUCCAGACUCCUACGGGAGGCAGCAGUGGGGAAUAUUGGACAAAGGGCGAAAGCCUGAUCCAGCCAUGCCGCGUGUGUGAAGAAGGUCUUCGGAUUGUAAAGCACUUUAAGUUGGGAGGAAGGGCAGUAAGUUAAUACCUUGCUGUUUUGACGUUACCAACAGAAUAAGCACCGGCUAACUUCGUG